CUUGGUGUUUCAAAAUGAGCUUCCGGGUGGGAAACGUUUUAAACUAAUAGUCGUGAAUUUAUGAAUUGAACUAUGAAUGGUAAAUCUGUGAUGAAUGGUGAAUGAAUAUUGAUUGUUGUUUAUUCAUUAUGGUGGUUGUAUCCUGGUUAUAUUCUUGUACUUAUGCGACGCCGUGCAAAUACUGGGGAGACUCUGUCCGUGUGAACAGUGGAUUUUCUGUAUUUGUGGCGGAUCUGGCAUACCCUGGGGUCAGGUUUUAAAAAAAAAAAAAAAAUUUCAGCUGUGUUUUUAACCUAAAGGGACCCCGGGGCGUGACAUCUGUAGACUUGGUGGGUAAACCGAUGAGUUUGAGGGCGGUACCCACUGGGGUCAGGUUUUAAAAAAAAAAAAAAAAUUUCUGCUGUGUUUUAACCUAAAAGGGA
rnacentral:lncRNA from 1 species